GUGGGGAAUUUUGGACAAUGGGGGCAACCCUGAUCCAGCAAUGCCGCGUGCAGGAAGGAGGCCUUCGGGUUGUAAACUGCUUUUGUACGGAACGAAACGGUCUGGGUUAAUACCCUGGGCUAAUGACGGUACCGUAAGAAUAAGCACCGGCUAACUACGUGCCAGCAGCCGCGGUAAUACGUAGGGUGCGAGCGUUAAUCGGAAUUACUGGGCGUAAAGCGUGCGCAGGCGGUUUUGUAAGACAGGCGUGAAAUCCCCGGGCUCAACCUGGGAAUGGCGCUUGUGACUGCAAAGCUGGAGUGCGGCAGAGGGGGAUGGAAUUCCGCGUGUAGCAGUGAAAUGCGUAGAUAUGCGGAGGAACACCGAUGGCGAAGGCAAUCCCCUGGGCCUGCACUGACGCUCAUGCACGAAAGCGUGGGGAGCAAACAGGAUUAGAUACCCUGGUAGUCC
rnacentral:rRNA from 1 species